GCCAAUGGAUGGAAUGGUGAAGAGGCAGAUGGUCAAGCCGCCGGCUCUUCUGUGGACCAUCCUAAGACUGACAGGAAUGGUCGGCUCCCCAUUGAGCUUCUCAUGGGAUUUUCUUGAAUCUGCGGUGGCAUUUUCUAAGCAAACUGCUAUUCCCUCCCCCUUCCCUCUUUUGUAAACCUCCCUCCUGGUUCCUGGGAGUGCUGGCCUUCAGAAAUAGGAUAAAGAAGCAGCCUCUGUGCUCUGCUGUCCCUCGACAGCAGAUGGGGGGAGCUGGGAAUACUGUUUUACACAGUGUUAUUUCCUGCACUAAUUUUAAUAUCCAAAAUGUGAAGAUUUAAAUUUUGGGUGCCAAGCAGAACUUGAAUAUUCCCAGCCACUUCCAGGAGGUGAGUUUGCUGUUUGUGAGCCGUGCUGGCUUGGCCGGGGCAAAUGCAGGAGGAUAUGCACCGAGGAUGAGAAGGUUGUUGGAAAUUGCAAGAUGAACUUUUUCUGUUGCCGACGGAGGAUCAGGUGAACCAGACCAGCCCUCCCCUGGCCUUCAAAGUGGGACUUGGUAUUCAAGGGAGGACAAGAGAAGUCGUGUGCCUUACCCAGGUCACACUGUGAGUGAGUCUCAGAAUCAUUCUCCUGUCUUUCUCCCUUGGUUUUGUUUCUUUGCUUAUUUUUUAAGAUAAUCCUUAAAAAAAUCUAGGUCCAAGUGGGCAUCGAGUAGCCUAAUCGGAUACUACUACUAUGUAUUUGUAGAGUCUCUUGUAAUUUAUAAAUCUUUCCUCCAUAUUUUCCUCAUAUGACUCAAGAUCGACUUAUGAUUUCAUUAUCUCCAUUUAUAUUUGAAGAAACUGAGACCCAGAGAAGCUUUCAUUUCUUCAAGGUCAUAGCCUGGAAGCUGGAAAUGGAUGUGCACACCCCUGUCCUGUUCUGUGUAUCUAUCUUUGUAUAAUAAUUUAAACCAAAUAGAUAAACAGAAAUGACAUCUGCAUCUGUGUUUUUGGAAUUACAAUUCUAUACCAUACAAGAAAUUAUUCAUGUUAUUUCUGGGUAUAUCAAUAAGCGAUCAGUCAUUGAUUCUAAUAUUUACACUGUGUUUUUAAGCAACUCAUACCUACUCAGUUAAUGCCCAUGGCCCCAACUUUGUACUUCUCUUCUUGCCAAUAAAUUAAGAUGUUAGAGGUCGAAUUAAAAUGCUCAGCAUGGAUUGUGCAUGUAUGAUUGACUAUCCAUAGCUUUUGUUUAUGAAAUAAAAUUUGUAGCUUCAUAUAA